rnacentral:rRNA from 1 species
UACGUAGGGUGCGAGCGUUGUCCGGAAUUACUGGGCGUAAAGCGUGCGCAGGCGGUUUGUUAAGACAGAUGUGAAAUCCCCGGGCUCAACCUGGGACCUGCAUUUGUGACUGCAUCGCUGGAGUGCGGCAGAGGGGGAUGGAAUUCCGCGUGUAGCAGUGAAAUGCGUAGAUAUGCGGAGGAACACCGAUGGCGAAGGCAAUCCCCUGGGCCUGCACUGACGCUCAUGCACGAAAGCGUGGGGAGCAAACAGG